GUUCUUCCCCAAAAUUGUAUUAAAUCAAAACUAACCCACAGUUCUAAACUCACUCAAGCGUGGAUUUAUUAAUAAACUAUCUGCCACUUUUGUUGACCAAGGUUUGUUUAAUAAACCCAAUCGCUGGUUCCACACAGAUCAGUGUUGUUAUUGAAUCGCACUUCUAUCGUUGCUGUUCUUGUUGCAACUCCGGUGACGUAUAUCGAUUCCGGCGAGCAAGUUUCCAAUCGCAGGUGUCAAACAAAGCCCCUCAAUCGACAGCCCCUUGUUCGCAGGUUUGUUGAUCUUCGCUCUUUACGUCGCUCGGCGGUAAUCACCUCUAAUCAUAGGUCCCUCUCGGUUUUAAAUCACAGGAGCCUGAAUUCGUUCCGCUCUGAUACCAAUUAAAGGGAUUAAUUGGUAAUUGUGGGAGGCAUGGUGAUCUGUGUUGGGCUUGGUGGAUUGACUGCUUAUGCUGGGUUCUUUGAAAUUUGUAAGCCAAACAAGAGUGAAAAGGUCUUUGUCCCAGCUACUUCUGGAUCGUAGGAAAUUUGAUGAGUCAAUAUGCUAAGCAUUUUGGGUGCUAUGUUGUGGGUUGUGCCAGAAGCCCAAAUAAGGUUUACCAUGUUUUAAAAUAUCUCUCACUAAUCAAUAAUCAAUUAUUGUUAUGAAUAUAUUUUAUGAUAUGACUAUUCACAUAUUUAACUCUUUUAGUAUUUAAUUUGUAUUGAAUUAUAGCCUAAUAAAUAGUGGCUUUUGUAUUUCAUACAUACAUAAAUAAGAAUGAGUUCUUCUUCU
rnacentral:lncRNA from 1 species